UUUAUUUUAGAUUCUGAGUGAAGCGAAGUAGCUUAUGGUUUUACAAAGAUGUUUAUUAUUUAUUUUUUUUUUUAAUCUCUUAACUACUGCUCUAUGUUAAAAUAUGUAAAGCCUAUUUUAUUUUUUACUGUAGAACGACAUAUUUCGUUAGUACGAGUAAUGAGCAUUGCGGCGAAUCACAAGAGACCUGAAUGAGUGUUAGCAAUUUGUUGAAAUUAGGCAGUUUACAAUCGUUAUUAUAGGUAUGUAUUUAGUAUAAAUGAAUACACAAUUUUGUCAUUAGUUUAAAAAAUAAUUAUAAAUUUCAUCGACAGCGUUUUAUAUAUGUUUUAUAAACAAAUAUUUUAUUUCCCAUGAAACUGCAUGGAUUUUUCAUCGAAUACUUAUAUUAGCCCUUUCGAGACCUGGUCAAAUUCUCACAACAUACUGGCAGUUUUUAUAAUUAUUAAUUGCAAUUUUCGAGAUAUCUGCAUGUUUUGCCAACAUUGUUUGAAAAAAUAAUUAUUAAUAUAAUAUAAAAAACGUGGCUUUAAUUAAUUUUAGAUGGUAUGAUACUGAUUACUAAUCGUACCUAUAACUAACAGUAGGUAUUAUAGAUAUAAUUUGUCGGCUUUAGACUAUUUAUUUCUUUAUUACUAUGAUACAUUAGUUUAUAUCUGUAAAUAUAAAAACGAAAUUCUUCGUAAAUUAUUAUAAUUAUAUUAAUAAUAUUAUCUCAUUCACUUUGUUUUUCUAUUGAUAUUUGAUGAUUUUUACAUUUAGUUAUUUUUAAAUGUAAGAACUUGUAAUCAUUUAAAAGAACAACGGUAUUAAAUAAAAUAUCUUUCCGGAUAAUAUAAAAAUUCAAAACUAACUUGAUUGGUAAUAAUAGUAAUUUUCAAUUAAUAAUAAAAAGUUAACUUUAAACUUAUUACUCGUUAAUGCUCAGCCUUGCGUAUUAGUAAAAAACAAGGUUAAAUAUAUUGUAAUAAUGGUGAAAAAGAAAUAAUUAUAAUAUUAUGUCGUAUUGAUAUUGUUUUUUUAAUCUUAAGAUUCAUGUUAUUAAUAAAUAAUAAUUCUAAUAAUAACAAUAUUAUAAAGUGACUUCACUUUUAAAAUUAACUUUAACUUAUGAGUUAAUUAAACUUACUGCUGGAUAAUUUAUUAAUGUAGUACUUCGUUGUUGAUAUAUAUUUCUGAAGUAAUAAAUUAUAACUUGUAAAAAAUAUUUUAUACGCAGAUAACAUGUCAAUUAAUGUAAAAAUGUUAAAAUUGGGACCGAAUAAAGAAGAUAACCUUGAUGACCAGGAUUCUAUUUCACAAGACGAACCUAACAUGAAAGGAGAGUGGUUAAAUAUUUUCCUAUUGUUAAUACUGUACACAAUUCAGUUUGUACCAUACGGAUUUAUCACCUCUUUACCAAUAUUAUUUCAGAGCAAAAAAUUAGUGACUUACGAAUAACAGGUAAAUUUUUAUCGAAACGACAAUAUGCAAUAAGUUUUAUUUUAAUGGUAACACUAAGUAUAAAAUAUUUCAAUGAACACAUGCAGCAGCCUAUUAAUUUAGAUAAAACUAAUAGUUUCUUAAUAUUAGUAAUACCCCAAUUAACCUAGAAAUUCGAAUUGUAUAAUAUGUUUCAUUAAAAUAUAAAAAAAGAGCUGAUACUGGGAAUGGGAGCGGCCACUAUUAUAGGUGAGACGUUGGGAAGGUAGGAUACAUAAGGUUAUUUCACUUAUAUCUGUAAGCAACGAUAAACCAUUGCUUGACAAAAGACAAUUCCGAGCGCAAUUCAAUAAUACAUAAUUUAAAGUACCGUAAUUUUUUUGCGAUUUUCGUUUAAAUUUGAUUUCAAAACGCCUUUUAAAAAAAAAAAAUAUUCAUCCAAUGAUUUUGGAAAUUUUACCUCGUCCAGAUAAGUCCAAUAUAAGUAUUAUUACCAAGUUUCAAGUCUCUACGUGUAUUUAUAACCGAAUUACAGUAAUAAAACUCGCAAAAAUUAAAAUUCCUUAAAAGCUCAAAAGUUUUGACGAUAAUAAAAUAAGAAAGUAAAUCAAAAAGGUGUUUAGGUGAUUUUUCGAUUAAAUCAUUUUUUCUGGUAGAAAACGUCCGUGUUUUUAUAAAAUAAUGAAAUUGUAUGUUUUCCUACAUUUUUUCCCAUUUCAGUGUUUUUAUUUAAAAAAUGGCAUCGAAAAUUAAAAAAUGACCUGUUUAAAGUACAAUCUAGACAACUUGAGCUUUCAGAAAAAGUGCUAUACCUAUAUAUCGAAGCAAGUUUAUUAGGAAAAAAUAUAUCUACAGACUAGAAAAAAAAGAAAGAAAGAAAAAAAAUAAACAUCUUAGUAAAACCAAUAGCUCCCUCGCUACGAUCAAAAUCUAAAAAUAUUGCCAUAUAUUGAAAUAGAAUAAAUAAAUAAAUUUAAAUCGAUCAUAUUUCCAGGCUUUGUCGUACUGGUCACCUUUAGUAGACUCAAUAUUUAUACAAAAAAUAGGCAGACAAAAGUCCUGGAUUAUACCAAUUCAAUACAUAAUAGGUGAAAUACAUAAUUUAUAUAUAUAUAUAUAUAUAUACACUUUGACAGUAAUAUUAACACUUGUUUGUAAUAGCUAAGACUGGAAAUCAUAAUAAACUAUUAUGGGUUUCAUUUGGUUUAAUGGUUUCCAUUAAGAAGAUUUAUAAUUUAAUUUAAUAUAUUACCUAAAAAAAUUGGUUAUUGAUUAUAUAAUUGCAUAUAAUCUAUAGCGUUACAUAUCUCAACCAUAAUUUUUUCACAGGGUUUUUAUUUUUUUACACGGCAAUUAAGAUUGAAGAAUUGAUACCGGAAUCGGGAAAACCUAACAUUAAAGCUUUGAUAAUAUUAUUUGGCGGUCUUUUCAUCUUGGCUAAUAUGCAAGACAUAGCUGUCGACGGUUGGUCAAUUACGAUGUUGAAAAGGUAAUCCCAUUCGCUUUUGUUGUGCUCUAGCAAAUGACUGAUUACUAUAGAUUUUUUUUUAAAUAUAAAACUAUUCUUGAAUCCAUACAGUUAAGUCAUAAACCAAUGAUAUCCGUCACGCCUAGAAUUAACUGCACGUAUAAAAUACAUUAAUUGCCUUUACUCGAUUACUAUUCACUCUGAUGAUGUACACUUAACAGUAACUGACAAAUUCGUUAUGUUGUCAAAAUAACUUCCUUAAUUUAUAUCUGAUUUUAUGAAUAUUCAUACUAUUUUUUAAAUAUUGUUUCAAUCGUCAUACAAAUUAUAUUGGUAAAUUCGUUAUUUUGUCGUAUGAAGGUAAAUCUAACUAGAUCCUAAAACAGAUUUGUCAAACUAACAAAAAAACUAAUAUCCAUUUAUUUUAUUUUUUUGUAUAGAAAAAAUGUAGGCUAUGUAUCUACCUGCAAUGCGAUAGGUAAGUCAUUAGGUAAUCUUAUUUGUAUGGUAUGUCUUAUUUUACUAACGUCCGAAGACUUCAGCAAUAAAUACCUGUGGACUGUAAAUGGCACAGGCGGACUAGUUACUAUAAAAG